rnacentral:lncRNA from 1 species
GAGAGCGAGUCAGAGGUGAGACCAGAGCUACAACAUGUGUUGUUCCUGCUCUGUUAGAGGCUGGCUGCUUUUCUUCACAAUCCUACAACUGAUUGGUGGCAUGACUUUCAUUGUCACCCCUUGGAAGUAUUACAGGAGUAGUGAAAAUGACCUAGAUGAACGUCUGUCUCCAGUCUGAUGGACUAUCUUCACAGCAGGUGUGGUCUCCAUUAUCCUUGGCAUCACGGGUCUGCAUGGAGCUCGUAAGAAGAACAAGAACUUCCUGAUAAUGGUACGUUCAGUUCUUAAAGGAGCAAUCUGGGAUUCAAACAUUGCCAUCAUCCUGCUGCUAUUUUGUAAACCGCUGAGGGAUGGGGCUUGAAAAAUGUAACCACACCCAAACCCUAAGAUGGUUGAACUAAGCUCCUGAGGCCUUUAUAAAUUAUAUUCUUCAAUAAUAAAUAGCUACAUAUUGUUAAUUUAAAAGUCCAAUAACCGAUGGAUCAAUCCCAGAUUUCCCCUUUAUUAAAGCCAAAAUCUCAUUAGUAAUGUCAACAAAUGAAAUACUUUAUUAUUUGACCCGUUUAACUAAGACCAAGUCAUGUAUAUCAAGGUGUACAGUGUACUGCCCAAAAUAUAUAAUGUUUAUUAUUUACUUUAUUCAUUGGGUGAUGUAGUAUUCAGUUGGAUCUUGUCUUCGGACUGUGGUUUCUGGCCUACUACCUUCCACCACAAUUAGGACAGAAUUACAAGUUCAUGUCCAUAAAAAUGUAAUUAAACUAAUAUUUAAAAACAUUGGUAUUUAUUGAAUUCUGUGUCCAAUCCCCCCCCCCCCAAAAAAAAAUCUCCAGCUUCCAAAUAUGAUGAAAGCCUGGUAUGAAGAGUACAUCCCAUUGCACACAAAUGGAAGAGAUUUGGUACCAGGACUGACGGUACUGCAAACCAUUAAGUUAUUUUCUAACAGGAU